rnacentral:rRNA from 1 species
GAGACUCUGUGCGCGUGCAUAUCAAUAAGCGGAGGAAAAGAAACUAACAAGGAUUCCCUUAGUAACGGCGAGUGAAGCGGGAAGAGCUCAAAUUUGAAAUCUUCAAGGUUCUACCUUGACGAAUUGUAGUUUAUAGAAGUGUUUUCUGUUAGUAGAGUGGCAAAAGUUCUUUGGAAUAGGACAUCAUAGAGGGUGAGAAUCCCGUAUUUGGUCAUUCUUUCUAGCUUUGUGAUACACUUUCAACGAGUCGGAUUGUUUGGGAAUGCAGUCCAAAAUGGGUGGUAAAUUUCAUCUAAAGCUAAAUAUUGGCGAGAGACCGAUAGCGAACAAGUACCGUGAGGGAAAGAUGAAAAGAACUUUGAAAAGAGAGUUAAACAGUACGUGAAAUUGUCAAAAGGGAAGCGUUUGACACCAGUGUUGUUUUUCCGAAAAUCAAUUACGAAUGUUUUGUUCUUGAGGAGUUAUGACUUCAUCGGCUUGCUCCUUUCUUUACGAAACUUUCUUAAUGCACUUUUCGUUUAACAAGUCAACAUCAGUUUCUUUUGUUGUAAAAGGGUCAUUGGAAGGUGGCUUUCUUUUCGGAGAAAGUGUUUAUAGCCUUUGAUCUCUGCAACCGGAGAGACUGAGGUCUGCAGCGUAGACUCUUCGGGGUUAAAUACAUUUGUGCUAAGCUAUAGCUUUUUAUAGACAACUUGUUGACUAUAUUUAGUCUUGUGGCUUACUCGCUUAUGCUAUUUUACCUACGCUUAGGAUGUUGAGUCGUAGAGCACGCA